rnacentral:tRNA from 1 species
GAAGUAUAAUCUUGUAUAAGCUGCUAACUUAUUACCAUAACAAAUUAAAUUGUUAAUACUUCU